rnacentral:rRNA from 1 species
CCUACGGUGUGCAGCAGUGAGGAAUAUUGGUCAAUGGGCGCGAGCCUGAACCAGCCAAGUAGCGUGAAGGAUGACGGCCCUACGGAUUGUAAACUUCUUUUAUAAAGGAAUAAAGUGAGGCACGUGUGCCUUUUUGUAUGUACUUUAUGAAUAAGGAUCGGCUAACUCCGUGCCAGCAGCCGCGGUAAUACGGAGGAUCCGAGCGUUAUCCGGAUUUAUUGGGUUUAAAGGGAGCGUAGAUGGGUUGUUAAGUCAGUUGUGAAAGUUUGCGGCUCAACCGUAAAAUUGCAAUUGAUACUGGCAGUCGGGAGUACAGUGGAGGUAGGCGGAAUGCGUGGUGUAGCGGUGAAAUGCAUAGAUAUCACGCAGAACCCCGAUUGCGAAGGCAGCAUACCGGCGCCCUACUGACGCUGAGGCACGAAAGUGCGGGUAUCGAACAGGAUUAGAUACCCCAGUAGUC